ACAGAGAUGGAUACCCUCUUCUUCUAUCCUGACCCUGAACUUGGGAUAUAGCUGCUGCCUGCCCAGCUGUCCAAAGCCUAUCUCCUCUGAGUGAGUCAGCCCUUGAAACUGGUGCUGCAGGGCCAGAACAAUCGUGUAGGAGAAAAACCAGUUCAUACUCAACAUGAGCCAAGAACUCAAUUUCACCCUCAUACAAGAAAAAGUGGAUUUCUUUGAAAACAUGCUUUUAUUAUACACUCUUCCUGGAGCACAUCUACCAUAUUGAAAGCUGCAAGUAUCAUUGACCUGGAUGGAAGUCUCCAGGAAAGAUUCAAGGAACAAAUCUAGGAGUCACUCAUUAAAAUCCCAAAGGCCUCUCUAAAGACCCAUCUUGAGUCGUUGUUAUGGAUCAAUUUGCACAGCGCUCCGCAGGCUGACUCUCUCAGGGGCUCCAAGUGACCAAAAG